GGCCUUGUAGCUCAGCUGGUAGAGCAUGCACGUACAAAACUUAUGCGGUGUCCAUGUGUGGGUUCGUAUCUUACCGAGGCUA
rnacentral:tRNA from 1 species